AUCACCCAGGUAUUUUGUUAAAAUGCAGAUUCUGGUUUGGUAGGUCUGUAGUGGGGCAUUUCUGCAUUUCUAACAAGCUCCCAGGUGAUGCCUA
rnacentral:pre_miRNA from 1 species